UGGGGAAUAUUGCACAAUGGGCGAAAGCCUGAUGCAGCAACGCCGCGUGAGUGAUGAAGGCCUUCGGGUUGUAAAGCUCUGUCUUCUGGGACGAUAAUGACGGUACCAGAGGAGGAAGCCACGGCUAACUACGUGCCAGCAGCCGCGGUAAUACGUAGGUGGCAAGCGUUGUCCGGAUUUACUGGGCGUAAAGGAUGCGUAGGCGGAUACUUAAGUCAGAUGUGAAAAUCCCGGGCUUAACUUGGGAACUGCAUUUGAAACUGGGUAUCUAGAGUGCGGGAGAGGAAAGUGGAAUUCCUAGUGUAGCGGUGAAAUGCGUGGAGAUUAGGAAGAACACCAGUGGCGAAGGCGACUUUCUGGACCGUAACUGACGCUGAGGCAUGAAAGCGUGGGGAGCAAACA
rnacentral:rRNA from 1 species